rnacentral:lncRNA from 1 species
CGCGCCGCGCCGCCUCGACCUUUUGUGCAGCGCCCUGCCCGGCUGUCAGCGCGGGGGGCGGAGACAGGCAACGCCAGUAAACUCAGACUGAGCCUUUGCUCUGUGUUUGAAGAACAGCGUUCCACCAGCACAACAGUGAGCGGCCUGUCAGAGCAGCGGCAAAUUUUACUGCCAGCCAAGUGAGGGUCACUGCGGCCUUUCAUCCUAUGGCUCCUGUGCAGAGUGGUUGUUGGACAGUUAGCGAAACACACCUUGAGCAGUAGUGUUGGGCUCUCCUCAUGCAGGCCAAAGUGUUCCAGGUCUGAUGGAUCUCAAUGUCAGCUGGUGUGUUCAGUGUGGAGUCAACCACUGGACUGUUCCCAAGGGCCUCAUUGCAUCCUUGCUCCACCAGAGCUUUCUUCUCCUCUACUUCUGGACCAGUGUUAUUCUUUUCCACUUAGUCAUGGUAGAAAUGCUGGAUUCAAAGGCCAGCUGACAUCAUUUGGAGCUUCGUACUUGAUUGGACAGCACUGGUCUGCUUACGGUUGCCAGGUGCAAGAAAGCACCGUAUGUUUGGAUGUUCCAGGAAACAGGGCAGAUUGAGUGACUUCUAUCCAAGGAGAGAGAAACAGCCCCAUGUUUGGGAAUUUGGUGGAGAUCAAUUCCUUUGAGACAUCUUCCAAGCAUCUCAGGCCAACGUGACUUAAAACAAAUGUAAUGGACUCAGUCACAAUGUAUUCCACAGUUUCACAAAAGAAAUAAGAAUCUUCUGUGCACUGCAGAGCUCCUGAAAAUUCCUGGUAGGUCCCCAUAGAGUUAUUCUGCUCCUUCAGCUCACGUCUAAGGAGCAUAGAGUUGUUUCUGUUCAGCAAGGACAAAUUAGUGAAAAACACAUCCACUGAAACUGUCAGCAGUGAGCAGAUUUUGGUUAGGGAGAAUAUCACACAUAUGUAAAUAUCCCAGAAAGCUGCAUGCAGAGUAGCAAACAGGAUGGGAGCAAAGUUCUUUACCAAUUCUAGAUGUGUUCCCGCUGAGCAUAGCUCUGGUGGAAAAGUGCCUAUUCUCUGUGUAACAAGGAAAGGAGUAAAACUGAAAAUAUUGAACACCAGACUUCUGUUCUGAAGGGGUGAGGAGUAGUCCACUGAACUCACUCUGCACCAUGGAGCUGACAGAAAAUGUGUGUCCUUUGGUUAAAAUGUGUCCAGGACUUGGCUGAAUUCAUGGUUUGGUCUUGAGCGGAGGUCUCCUGUGAUGGAGAGGAAAAUCUGGCAUGGGGAGAGAGAUGUUGCCAGUCUUUCUCUUUGGUGGUACUGCAUUUACAAUAGGGAGAAGGUGCCCAGGUGGUUUGGAACCCUGUGAAUAGGGAUAGAGUCCAUCCAGCCCUGCACAAAGUGACACAGAUCACAAGGGACAAAGGUCUGCCAGGGCAUAAGUGGGGCCUUCCAGGCUCAGCCACAGAGGCCAGGGCACCGGGAGGGACUUCAGGCAAAAGUCUGUGCCUCUGUUGUGCCACCCUGCAGGUGUGGGGGGACUGGGGUCUUUGCACCCCUCGUCCCAUCCAUUGGAAGCUUUGGAAAUGGAUAUGCACUGCUCAGCUUUGCAGAAUCACCUCUGAAGACUAUUAGUGAAAGAGACAGAACUGCGGUAACAGUUUAUUGCAAUAUAAUGCAGCAAGAGACAAAAAUAGAAGGGGCUCAUUAUUGCGGUUCAUAAACAUAGGCAAAGCACAUGCCUGACCUUUCAUUUGUACAAUUAAUUGUUCCAGCAGAAAGAAAAUGAGUCUUAAUUGUGUGCAGCUUCCUAGAGGAUCAGCUGUGUGUGCCCCUCCGCUCUCGGGGAAAAAGGCUGUGAAGUUUUCCUGAAGGUUUCUGCUUUCCACUGCGGCAGGAAAAGAAGAAAGGAGGAUCGCUGUGUUUCUCUCUCCCACCUCUGCCCUGCCUCCCGCCUCCCAAGGAGAAUAUUGAGCUAUAGUGCUAUUUAAAUAACCUCAACAUUUUCUUCAGUCUCGUAAAACAGGCUCUUCCUCUUGCAUUUUCAGUGCUAUUUCGCGCCUAUAAUAAGGAAAUAUUGUAUAAUGCUCAAUCAAAAGCCGUUUCAGAGUUCAAGAGUCAGUCAAAAGCAGCAACUUAAACCCGCUCCUAAUUUGACUGUCAAAUCACGUUGAUAGCAGUGGGUGGUCAGAGUUCGAAACGAGACUUCCCAGCCUCUGUAUUGCUAUCCAAAUGAUGUCCGUGUACGUGGGCUUCGCAGGGCUCGGUCACCGUGUGCUCGCAGUGCCGGUACCCAGAGCCGGGCUCGGGAAUGACCCCGUGGGGGUGAGCGGGCAUCGCUCCAGGACCGGCACCGUGGCCGCGGGACGAACCCAACGCCUCUCGCCCCAAUGCCCGGGGACAGGAGGUUCCUUUGGAGGACCCCCCUUGAAGCCCUUUUAUCCCGCUCUGCCUGAGGACUGAUGUCCUCCGCACCCAUCCUGCCGGGGGGUCCCGGGGCUUAACAGCGAUCGGGCCCUUCUCAGCUCGCCCAUCAGAUCCCGCCCGCAGAGCGUGACCGUCCUAAACCGACCUCUUAUCGAUAGCGAUUUUUAAUCUCGAACUCACAAAGGAGCACAUUCUCUGUUCCUUAAUAGAGCACAACGCCCAUUGACUUCUAUCCCAUUGACUUCAAUGGGAGUUUCGCUCCAUUAAGGACUGCAGAAUUUGGCCUAAACUGACCGCAAUAAUUUUGCUGCCGGUAAUGGAGCUUCAAAGCCGUCUCUAAUUAGCCGAUGAGCAGGAAUCGUUAAACAUGCUGUACAAUUCCGCCAGCUACGCGGGGGCUGCAGAGCAGCUGAGCAGUCCCGUUCAGCCCCGGGAAAGCUCAGAAUGCGACUUCUGCGGGGACAGCCCGAGGACGGGGUGUUGGACGGGACAUUCCUGCUUCCAUAGCUGCUUUGCUAGCAUAGGAAAAGGAGAAAAGAAAGCACUAAAAAGCCAUGGCAGAUUAGAUCACGCACUGAUUUUUUUCCUUCUUCGAAGACGCCUGAAGAAGAAUCAUUGUAUGUGCCGUUGUUUCUAUUUAUCAAAGAUCAACCUAAUUAGUUUUGUUUAUCCGUAACCCGGAGCACUCCUAACGAGUUACGCAGAAUCCCACAGUGCCUCCGAGCCGCACUUUGUGCUGCGCUCAUCUCCGCUGCGACCUGGCACCUUCCCGUCCAGCAGGAGCGAACUCCGUCCCCUUGAGCCGAACUCGCCUGUAAGGGCACUUCCAUUGCACGCCGUUCGUGGGCACAGCCUCCUUCCCGAAUCUCGCAGCUGUACAUACAGCAGCGUGCAGAAAUGUCUCGCAAAGACCGUGAUUUAAUAGCCGAGCUCUUAAGCGCUUACAAACCUAUAUUUCUCCAGUGUGUCUGUUACCUGUGAAUUUGAAUUUGGAAAACAACAUUUUCCUUU